UACAGAGGGUGCGAGCGUUGUCCGGAAUCACUGGGCGUAAAGGGCGCGUAGGCGGCGCGGUAAGCGAGCGGUGAAAGCCCGGGGCUCAACCCCGGGUCGGCCGUGCGGACUGCCGGGCUGGAGCACUGUAGAGGCAGGUGGAAUUCCGGGUGUAGCGGUGGAAUGCGUAGAGAUCCGGAAGAACACCGGUGGCGAAGGCGGCCUGCUGGGCAGUAGCUGACGCUGAAGCGCGACAGCGUGGGGAGCAAACAGG
rnacentral:rRNA from 1 species